GUGGACUGAGGGGCCGCGGGCGGUCCCGGUGUCUCGAUGUCCCGGUGUCCGCCGGUGUAACCGGUGUUCCCGGUCAGAUGUGUCCCGGUCUCUGCCGGUGUUCAAAUGUGUGUUUCCCCCCUGACCUCCUCACUACACAUGCCUGACUUCCAGAGCAAUUCAGGAUGAAUGGAAAUUUUCUUGUGCUUGAAAAACUGUCCUUUUCCUUUGGUUUCUGUGCUGAAACUACAUAAAACAACAACUGAAGAUACUUUUCCUGGCUGAAAGACAAAGUUAAGAACCAAUGCACAACAACAGCAUGGAAAGAUAUCAGCAAAGUUAAGUAGAUAAAAGUAUCACAACAUAAGGGCUUAAAAGACUCCCAGUGUUCUGACCUCUGCUGUCAAAAAGUCUUUGAGUUUGUUCAAUACCUGAUAGGAGAAGAGUCCAAAACCCACAGAGCAAAGGGGACUUUCCUUGUUCAGUAGGGACAGAAGUUAUGCCUUGAUAUUCAGACACACAAGUUUGCAGCUCUGGAUUCAUGACAGUGAAGAACACUGGACAAUGGCAAACAAUCCACAGCCAAACUCACCAGAGCAGCAGAUAAGGGGAACAGCACUGAGGACUGCAAUGCCACACAAAUUCCAGCUACAGAUUACUAAGCAGCUCUUUUCCCAGCAAACUGCAACUGCACAAGUAAAUUGUCCACUUAAAAAUCUCAAGUGCUUUAAUUUCCUGGAGCUAUUUACACGUCUUGGAGAACACAGGGAGAACUGCCCUUAAAAGGGUAAGAAAAGCCACUGCUCUUCUGCAGCCAGAAGAGUUCUUACAAACAGAUCAUCCUUCUGUUUUUGGGCUGAUUGAAGGAAGAACAUGAAAAAAACCAAGAAUAUUUUGCAAUAUUGUUCCCAGAGGUGAGAACUUUUACAAAGAUAUUUAUUGUCACUUCCAAAAACAGUCAGUUGUAGAUGACAUGAAAGAAAUGUCCUGACUUUUGUAACAUUGCUAAUGAGAGGGGAUCACACAGGUAAACCUGCCCUCAGAACAUUCAGGGCUUUAGAAAUUGAAACUGAAUUGCACUGAAGGCAAAUUGAUAGAGCACAUCAAGGUAGAAUAUGUUGGCAACUUCACCCAUCCUCAGUUUCAGUUCAUUUCAAAGAAGGGCACAGGUGUCCAUUCUGAGGCCCCAGAUCAAGGUUCUCAUGUUAUGACUAUUUUUAUUAGACUUCCUGUCAUUCCAGACCACAAACAAUGAUCUCCCCAAAGCCUUUAGAAUAAGGACAUUUUCUCCCAGUUCCAUGUUUUACAGGCUGUACUGGGUAACUGCUCAUACUGGUUUAGACUACUGCAGAAACAGCUAGAACAGAUACAUUUUGGUGGUUUUUUUUCAUUUCAACUCUGCACAAUCAGUUUGGAGAGGGGAAGUCUAUGGAUUGCAGUUUUGCUGUUAUUUUCUACUGUGCUGGGUGGCAAAAUGAUAACCUGAGGCAGGCUGGCCUUACCAGGGUGGCAGCUGCUGUCAGAGUUCUGCAAUAACACUUCUCCCCAGCACUGAAAAGCAUUCAAGGCAUUUCCCUUUUGUUUACAGCUCUUCCCAUAAAUGAUAUUAAUCUGAAGUAGAGCUUGUGAGGCAAAGAGCACUUCAGUGUAAACCUUCUGAGGGUGAUACCAGCAGCAGGGCUGCACACAGGCAGCCUUGUUAGGAAUUGUUUGCCUCUUUGCUUUUCAGUGCUUGAGCCACUUCCAGACUGUGCUCUUUAAAGAGCAUCUGCAUACAGUCUGCACAAGGAGAGAGUUCUCCAACUCUGCUGUUCUUCCCCAGGUUAUCCCUGUCCCAGGUCAGCACAAGGCUGAAUUUCCACAGGACAUUUGGCCCAUGGGCACACUCAUUUUGGAUUCACUUCUAUUUGCUGCAAACUUUCCCCAUUUGUAUCAUCCCUUAUGCUAUGCUAAACACAUUAGUACUUUGCUUUAAAACUGUUGUAUGAAUUAGGGUAUUACAGGUUUUGAUAUGAUGAUCUCAAAAGAUGCUUUUUCAUGACAGCAGCUUGCAAUGAAUGACUUGCUUGUCACUCAAUAAAAUACAGAUAUUCUAAUUGACAAGAGCAUGGUGUUUUCCUAGGAAGUGCUUGCAUCAUCUCUACAUUAAAACAUCUGGGGGGGUUUUAACUCUAUGGCAGCUUCACUUUCAUUGCAUGUACAUCUUGCAUGUUCACUUAAAAAAUAUUAUUCCAAUGUUCAAUUCCUGUAUUUGCACUCAUCAUUCUAUUAUUUGGCCAUUUUGUUGAAAAAAGAGAUCAAGAUGUACAUUUUCAUAUAACUGAAGAGCUAAUAAUGUUGUUUGAGCACAGCCCCUCUGCCUAUCAGCAGGAUUUCAGCUCAGAGAUGUUCAACGUCCAAAUCAGUCAAACUGGAUUUAAUUCAGACAUCUAACUCCCUCAGGCCUGCUUGGAAAAUGUCAGCCUAAAAUAGCUUG